ACGAACGCUGGCGGCACGCUUAACACAUGCAAGUCGAACGAGAGAAGAGGAGCUUGCUUUUCUGAUCUAGUGGCGGACGGGUGAGUAACACGUGAGCAAUCUGCCUUUCAGAGGGGGAUACCGAUUGGAAACGAUCGUUAAUACCGCAUAAUAUAAUUGAACCGCAUGAUUUGAUUAUCAAAGAUUUAUCGCUGAAAGAUGAGCUCGCGUCUGAUUAGCUAGUUGGUAAGGUAACGGCUUACCAAGGCGACGAUCAGUAGCCGGACUGAGAGGUUGAUCGGCCACAUUGGGACUGAGACACGGCCCAGACUCCUACGGGAGGCAGCAGUGGGGAAUAUUGCACAAUGGAGGAAACUCUGAUGCAGCGAUGCCGCGUGAGGGAAGAAGGUUUUAGGAUUGUAAACCUCUGUCUUCAGGGACGAAAAAAGACGGUACCUGAGGAGGAAGCUCCGGCUAACUACGUGCCAGCAGCCGCGGUAAUACGUAGGGAGCGAGCGUUGUCCGGAAUUACUGGGUGUAAAGGGAGCGUAGGCGGGAUCGCAAGUCAGAUGUGAAAACUAUGGGCUUAACCCAUAAACUGCAUUUGAAACUGUGGUUCUUGAGUGAAGUAGAGGUAAGCGGAAUUCCUAGUGUAGCGGUGAAAUGCGUAGAUAUUAGGAGGAACAUCAGUGGCGAAGGCGGCUUACUGGGCUUUAACUGACGCUGAGGCUCGAAAGCGUGGGGAGCAAACAGGAUUAGAUACCCUGGUAGUCCACGCCGUAAACGAUGAUUACUAGGUGUGGGGGGACUGACCCCUUCCGUGCCGCAGCAAACGCAAUAAGUAAUCCACCUGGGGAGUACGACCGCAAGGUUGAAACUCAAAGGAAUUGACGGGGGCCCGCACAAGCAGUGGAGUAUGUGGAUUAAUUCGAAGCAACGCGAAGAACCUUACCAGGUCUUGACAUCGUAUGCAUAGCUCAGAGAUGAGUGAAAUCUCUUCGGAGACAUAUAGACAGGUGGUGCAUGGUUGUCGUCAGCUCGUGUCGUGAGAUGUUGGGUUAAGUCCCGCAACGAGCGCAACCCUUACUGUUAGUUGCUACGCAAGAGCACUCUAGCAGGACUGCCGUUGACAAAACGGAGGAAGGUGGGGAUGACGUCAAAUCAUCAUGCCCCUUAUGACCUGGGCCUCACACGUACUACAAUGGCUGUAAACAGAGGGAAGCAAAGCCGCGAGGUGGAGCGAACCCCUAAAAGCAGUCUUAGUUCGGAUUGUAGGCUGCAACCCGCCUACAUGAAGUCGGAAUUGCUAGUAAUCGCAGAUCAGCAUGCUGCGGUGAAUACGUUCCCGGGCCUUGUACACACCGCCCGUCACACCAUGGGAGUCGGAAAUGCCCGAAGCCAGUGACCCAAGCGAAAGCAGGGAGCUGUCGAAGGCAGGUCUGAUAACUGGGGUG
rnacentral:rRNA from 1 species